AACUUCUCAACCACAUACAUUGUCGGUGAUGUGGCUUGGAUGGUGGGGGUUCUCUGCAGGCCCUUCUUGUCUGCUCCCCUGAAAUGCAUUAGUGGUAUCUGAGCUGCUGCUGUAGGUGUGAUAAAUCUAUCUAUGCCUCUGGUAUGCUGCAUGAACGGAUUGCACCGCUUCAAACGAUGUAACAACAUGACAA
rnacentral:misc_RNA from 1 species